rnacentral:misc_RNA from 1 species
GAUGAAGAACGCAGCGAAAUGCGAUAAGUAAUGUGAAUUGCAGAAUUCAGUGAAUCAUCGAAUCUUUGAACGCAUCUUGCGCUCCUUGGUAUUUUGAGGAGCAUGCCUGUUUGAGUGUCAUUAAAUUCUCAACUACACUGACUUUGAAUUGGUGUGGCUUGGAUUUGGGGGGAAAAUUGUUGUGGGCUUUUUGUAUAGUCUGCUCCCCUGAAAUUGAUUAGCGGUACCUUUGUGGAACUGUCUACAGGUGUGAUAAUUAUCUACAUCUUAGACAUCUGCUGGAAUGCUGCUUUCUAAACCUUACUUGUAUUGACAAUCUUGACCUCAAAUCAGGUAGGACUACCCGCUGAACUUAAGCAUAUCAAUAAGCGGAGGA